rnacentral:rRNA from 1 species
GAUGAACGCUGGCGGCGUGCCUAAUACAUGCAAGUCGAGCGAACAGACGAGGAGCUUGCUCCUCUGACGUUAGCGGCGGACGGGUGAGUAACACGUGGAUAACCUACCUAUAAGACUGGGAUAACUUCGGGAAACCGGAGCUAAUACCGGAUAAUAUUUUGAACCGCAUGGUUCAACAGUGAAAGACGGUCUUGCUGUCACUUAUAGAUGGAUCCGCGUCGCAUUAGCUAGUUGGUAAGGUAACGGCUUACCAAGGCAACGAUGCGUAGCCGACCUGAGAGGGUGAUCGGCCACACUGGAACUGAGACACGGUCCAGACUCCUACGGGAGGCAGCAGUAGGGAAUCUUCCGCAAUGGGCGAAAGCCUGACGGAGCAACGCCGCGUGAGUGAAGAAGGUCUUCGGAUCGUAAAACUCUGUUAUUAGGGAAGAACAAAUGUGUAAGUAACUGUGCACGUCUUGACGGUACCUAAUCAGAAAGCCACGGCUAACUACGUG